AAGAAACUCAAUUCAUUCAACGGCUAGGGUUCAGAGCCAAAAGCAUGUUCUGACCACCAGGCAAGUAGGCUACGUUCGGCGACUUGGAGAGGGUGGAUGCGAUCUCCCUUGAUGCUUCAAUUCUCCUCAGCUCGAUCAAACCCAUACCAGCAGCCGAUGUAGCAUCAGAAAUCAACUUAGCUGACUCGCUCUCACCCUCAGCCCUAAUAAUUGCAGCCCUUCUUUCUUGUUCGGCCUUCGCCACAAUAAAUUUUGAACGCUCAGCCUCUUGUUGAGCUACCUGCUUCUGCUCAACUGCCUUAGAGAACUCCGGGCUAUAAGACAAAUGAGUGAUGGCAACGUCAUCAAGCUCAAUGUUGAAGUCCUUAGCCCUCCGAACCAGGCUUUCACGUACAAGAGCCGAAACAUGAGGCCGCUCAGUCAAAAGCUGAUCGGCGUUGAAUUGGG
rnacentral:misc_RNA from 1 species